GUAUGGAAAGUAGUGAGGAUGGGAAAUUUGUUGAUCCAAAUGAUUGGUUUAGGAAAUUAAUCAUUUGAUUUACAAAUUUUUCAUCUUCACUCGUUUCCUGCU
rnacentral:pre_miRNA from 1 species